GGGUGACAAUGACAGAGUGAGGGAGGGGGUGACACAAUGACAGAGUGAGGGAGGGGGUGACACAAUGACAGAGUGAAGGAGGUGGUGACUGUCACUAGUCACCUCAUCCCUCCCUCUGUCACUAAUCACAACCUCCCUCACUCUGUCACUAGUCACCCCCUCCCUCUCUCUGUCACUAGUCACCCCCUCCCUCUCUCUGUCACUAGUCACCCCCUCCCUCUCUCUGUCACUAGUUACCCCCUCCCCCUCUCUGUCACUAGUCACACC